GAUGAACGCUGGCGGCGUGCUUAACACAUGCAAGUCGAACGAACCCUUUCGGGGGUUAGUGGCGGACGGGUGAGUAACGCGUGAGGAUCUGCCCAAAGGACCGGGACAACAGUUAGAAAUGGCUGCUAAAACCGGAUGUGCCGGAGAGGUGAAAUAUUUAUAGCCUUUGGAUGAGCUCGCGUCUGAUUAGCUAGUUGGUGGUGUAAAGGACUACCAAGGCGACGAUCAGUAGCUGUUCUGAGAGGAAGAUCAGCCACACUGGGACUGAGACACGGCCCAG
rnacentral:rRNA from 1 species